rnacentral:lncRNA from 1 species
GCUAAUAUUGAAACCUAGCAACAAGUGUUUGUUCAGAAUAUUCACUAGAUGAAACUUGAGAGAAUAAAAAAACACUUGAAAUGCCACUAAAAACUUCUAUCAUUGAACUCUUCAACCAUCAAAUAGCCUUCAAUUAAUUCCAAUUCAAUCUUGGAAAAUUGUGAUCACAUUCCACCUUGAGAUUCAAGUCUAUUCCACUUGGAUUAUCGUAGUGACGCAGAUGAUGGCUUAAUAACAAGUACCUUUCAGGAUUUUCCUUCAAAUGGUCAUGCAUUUUGGAUAUCAUUG